ensembl:lncRNA
AAUGCUUCCCUUCUGCCUUUUCCCCUGGCUUCUCGCUGAAGCCCAGAGAGCUUGCCUGGUUGUGAUUUCUGUGUAUUUAUUUUUCCCCAUCGAAUCCCGCCUUUCGGCUGGUAGUAGCCUGCCGAACCACCCGCAGCAGCGGGCCGGCCACUACAGAAUAAUUGGGGACGGAGGCUUCUGCUCCCCAACUUCCCUGGGCUCCUUUUGUGGGCUUUCUCCCUCUCUCCCUGCGGCGGGAGCCCCGACUCUGUGGGAUGAGUCUUUAACGUGUAUGCAUUUGAAAGGAGCAGAUGAAAGCCACUUCUCUGAGCCACCUAAUUGGAGAGAAUUGCGGUUUUAGGGUUCACCUGAUUUUUCUUUUCUGUUUUGAAAAUCCCCACUCUGGAUUAUUUUGCCACACUCUGGUGUUUGUCAUCAGGGUAUGCGUGGAGGAAGAUGCAUUAGAAUGGCACUAGUGGUGAAGAGCCUGCCUGCCAAUGCAGGAGACGAUCCCCCGGAGGAGGGCAUGGCACCCUACUCCAGUAUUCCUGCCUGGAGAAUCCCAUGGACAGAGGAGCCAGGCAGGGUACAGUUCACGGGGUCACACAGACUCGGACACGACUGAAACGACACCGCAUGCCCGUGUGUUUGAUGGCUUGGAUCCUGCAGCCCUUGGUGGGGUAUCUGCGGGCCCUGCUGGGAAGGAGACGGUGUCAAGAUCAGUGCCUGCCUCUGAGAGUCCAUCCUCCAUCAGGGAGAAUGCUCUUUUUAAAAAAAAGCCAAAAGAAAAACAAAACAAACAAGUAAAUAGAACCAGUUGAAGCCUCAUAGAAGCCAGCAUGAAGUUCUCCGAUGAGUAGCAGAGAGGUUAAAUGGGGUGAGAAGCAACCAGGACAAGACCCUGGAGGUCGGUGGCACACAGCCUGGGGAUUGGCCGGUAGAAAAAAGUGCACAUCUAGAAGGCUGAGCAUCCCUCAGUCCAGGGAGUGUGCAGGAGAAGAAAGAGAGGGCCUCCUUCUCUGCCCUUGUGACCAC